rnacentral:rRNA from 1 species
AGAUGGUGCGAGCGUUAUUCAUAUUGAAUGGGCGUAAAGGGUAUGUAGGUGGUGAUUUUAAUUUGGCACAAAAGACUUGAGUCGUAACUGAAGAGGGCUGCUUUGAAAUUUUUUCGCUAAUAUUAGAGUUAAUAUCAGGUCGGAGGAAUUUCUAGCGAAAAAGUAGAAUUUGUCAAUUCUAGAAAGAACGCCGAAAGUGGAGACAUCCCUCUAGAGUUAACUGACACUGAGGUACGGAAGCAUAGGGAGCAAACAGGAUUAGAGACCCUGGUAGUCUAUGCCGUCAACAAUGCGUGUUAAAGCUUUCAAUGCAGUUGGAGGCUUACAGCUAACGCGUUAAACGCGCCGCCUGGGGACUACGAUCGCAAGGUUG